rnacentral:lncRNA from 1 species
AAAGUUCCAAACAUACUCUGGUCACAACAAAAGCUCUGUAGCAUGGAACAAAUAUCUUCUAUCAUUCGUUCACACAAACUGAUCUUCGAUUCUCCAUUCAAACAGCGUAAUCGGAAACCAAAGUAAAACGCGAAUCCGGACUGCAGAGUCCCAAAUUGAGUUCAUCAAUGGCAUCUUGCACGCUUUCUGGUUUGUGAUUUACGAUUGCUCGCCGUAGAAUCCGACGGUCCAAACGCAAUUCAAGUCCGAUGUAUGACGGAGUUUAUGAUUCUACAAUGUCAAAUAAGUUAAGCGAAAGUGGUAAAUCAUAUACCAGAGUCUGGCGCGGUGGCUUGUCGGCUUCACAGGUAGAGCUCCUCCUCCUUUGUCUCCAUUUCUUCUUCUUCUUCUCGAAACCUUCCGCUAUUAUGUGCGUUGUUCGCUUCUUGAUUGUCGCGUUUCUGUGAGUUGUUUCUGUUGGCUAUUUCGUGAAUUCGGUUGAAUGCUUCUGAUUCUCUGUGUGUGAGUUCUAUGUGUGUUGCGAAUGAUGAAAGAAGAACCAAUUUCUGUUAUGAUUUUUUCUUCUCCUUCUAUUCUGAUAUUUGAGAAUGAACAUUGAAAAAAUGGAUCCUCAUUGAUGUGUGCGUGCUGCGCUUUCGCAGUAGUGCUUAUGUUACGUGAAGAUUGGUAGGUGGAAUUUCAGAGGAUUCUGAGAAUUGGAGCGAGAAGAGUGAAGAUUUGAUUUGCGAGUUCUGGAAUGUUCAAAGUUGAAACAGAAUGAAGAGUGUGAUGAAGAUUAUAUAGAGAAGCUUCGUGUAACAUAUUAGGGUAGCUUGGACAGGUAUGUUAAUCUAGUUAGGGCACUGUUAAGCUCCAGUUGGAUUUGCAGGGUGAGUUUGUUAUCUGUUAUGACUGUUAGAUUUUUGGGUUAAUGAUUCCUCUUUGUUUUCAUCCGUAAUCUAACAUCUAGCUAUUGUUCUGUUAAAGUCUAUGCAGGUUGUUAGUGAGUUCUGUUUUAUUAACUCAUGGUUGUGCAUUCCUAUUGUGAGCUUAUUUGAAAGGUUACGAUCAAGUAUGUCGUGACUGUAUUAUGCAGGUUUUUUUACUAAGCUUCUGUUAACAUAAUUAUGCAGGUGGAAUUCAUUAUUGGAGAUGGCUUUGAGCUGCUCUGCUAUUAUGAAUCAAGGCUUGUGUGAAUGAGUUUUCGGUUACAUUCUGCGAGCUACAACUUGGAGAAUUACCGGGAGCUUGCCAAAAAGGACCGAUGUGAAUAUGUUAUGGAGAUUUGUAUAUUUGUAAGCUGCAGUUGUGGACUUGUUUUAUGGAAUAUGCUGAAUGUUUGUGUAUUGAAUGUUUAGAUUGAAAUGGAACUUACUUCAUUGUAUUGGGUAUGACAUCUUAAUUUUGAAUUAAUGUGUGUAAUAGGAUGUUAUUGAAUGUUGUAGGAAAUUGAUUGAAUGGGGAGUUAAUUAAAAUUAAGUGUGUAUUGAAUUGUGUUAAAUUGUAUUACUUAAUUUGACAUGAGUUAGAAAGAAACUUAAUAAAGAAGAGAUUAAUUUCAACUGGU